rnacentral:lncRNA from 1 species
GGUAUUCAAUGGCAAAAAGAACCAGGAUGACAAAAUGCAAGGCAGGCACAUUACAGAUGCAUAGAUGUGUACACUAAAUCAAAUCCUCAUACUGAUCCUAUACGCUGUAACAACAAAUCCAUAGGCUUUCUUAAAGGCACUGGAAAUGUCUGCAGCAGUAAUGCAAGGACCAUAGCAGUUAUCUUUGCUCUUUGGGAUUGCCAAAUAGUACUAUCUUUAGAUCUCACCUGCCAGUCAUGAUACGAACU